AAGAAAACUGCUCUUCUCCACUCCGACUCCCUCCAAUCUUGAGGCAACCGUUAAGCAUCACUGGACUCUAUAUUCCAAGGGACAACAGGGUGUACCCAAAGAGCAACCAUGAAGAGCUAAGCCAGCAGGCUAAUG